GAUGAACGCUGGCGGCGUGCCUAAUACAUGCCAGUCGAACGAAACUUCUUUAUCACCGAGUGCUUGCACUCACCGAUAAAGAGUUGAGUGGCGAACGGGUGAGUAACACGUGGGCAACCUGCCCAAAAGAGGGGGAUAACACUUGGAAACAGGUGCUAAUACCGCAUAACCAUAGUUACCGCAUGGUAACUAUGUAAAAGGUGGCUAUACUACCGCUUUUGGAUGGGCCCGCGGCGCAUUAGCUAGUUGAUAGGGUAAAGGCUUACCAAGGCAAUGAUGCGUAGCCGAAUUGAGAGGUUGAUCGGCCACAUUGGGACUGAGACACGGCCCAAACUCCUACGGGAGGCAGCAGUAGGGAAUCUUCCACAAUGGGCGAAAGCCUGAUGGAGCAACGCCGCGUGGGUGAAGAAGGUCUUCGGAUCGUAAAACCCUGUUGUUAGAGAAGAAAGUGCGUGAGAGUAACUGUUCACGUUUCGACGGUAUCUAACCAGAAAGCCACUGCUAACUACGUG
rnacentral:rRNA from 1 species